rnacentral:rRNA from 1 species
ACGAAGGGGGCAAGCGUUGUUCGGAAUUAUUGGGCGUAAAGCGUAUGUAGGCGGUUAAAUAAGUCAGACGUGUAAGCCCACGGCUCAACCGUGGAAUUGCGUUUGAAACUAUUUGACUUGAGUGCAGGAGAGGAAAGCGGAAUUCCCAGUGUAGCGGUGAAAUGCAUUGAUAUUGGGAAGAACACCGGUGGCGAAGGCGGCUUUCUGGUCUGUUACUGACGCUGAGAUACGAAAGCCAGGGGAGCGAACGGG